CCAGGUAGCUCAGUUGGUAGAGCAGCGGACUGAAAAUCCGCGUGUCGGUGGUUCAAUUCCGCCCCUGGGCACCA
rnacentral:tRNA from 1 species